rnacentral:rRNA from 1 species
GAAGCGUCUGGAAAGACGCGCGAUACAGGGUGACAGCCCCGUACACAAAAAUGCACAUGCUGUGAGCUCGAUGAGUAGGGCGGGACACGUGGUAUCCUGUCUGAAUAUGGGGGGACCAUCCUCCAAGGCUAAAUACUCCUGACUGACCGAUAGUGAACCAGUACCGUGAGGGAAAGGCGAAAAGAACCCCGGCGAGGGGAGUGAAAAAGAACCUGAAACCGUGUACGUACAAGCAGUGGGAGCACGCUUAGGCGUGUGACUGCGUACCUUUUGUAUAAUGGGUCAGCGACUUAUAUUCUGUAGCAAGGUUAACCGAAUAGGGGAGCCGAAGGGAAACCGAGUCUUAACUGGGCGUUAAGUUGCAGGGUAUAGACCCGAAACCCGGUGAUCUAGCCAUGGGCAGGUUGAAGGUUGGGUAACACUAACUGGAGGACCGAACCGACUAAUGUUGAAAAAUUAGCGGAUGACUUGUGGCUGGGGGUGAAAGGCCAAUCAAACCGGGAGAUAGCUGGUUCUCCCCGAAAGCUAUUUAGGUAGCGCCUCGUGAAUUCAUCUCCGGGGGUAGAGCACUGUUUCGGCAAGGGGGUCAUCCCGACUUACCAACCCGAUGCAAACUGCGAAUACCGGAGAAUGUUAUCACGGGAGACACACGGCGGGUGCUAACGUCCGUCGUGAAGAGGGAAACAACCCAGACCGCCAGCUAAGGUCCCAAAGUCAUGGUUAAGUGGGAAACGAUGUGGGAAGGCCCAGACAGCCAGGAUGUUGGCUUAGAAGCAGCCAUCAUUUAAAGAAAGCGUAAUAGCUCACUGGUCGAGUCGGCCUGCGCGGAAGAUGUAACGGGGCUAAACCAUGCAC